UACAGAGGUCUCAAGCGUUGUUCGGAUUCAUUGGGCGUAAAGGGUGCGUAGGCGGUUCGUUAAGUCCUGUGUGAAAUCCCCCGGCUCAACUGGGGAACUGCACAGGAAACUAGCGGGCUUGAGUUCGGGAGAGGGAAGCGGAAUUCCGGGUGUAGCGGUGAAAUGCGUAGAUAUCCGGAGGAACACCGGUGGCGAAGGCGGCUUCCUGGACCGACACUGACGCUGAGGCGCGAAAGCUAGGGGAGCAACGGG
rnacentral:rRNA from 1 species